rnacentral:rRNA from 1 species
GGCGGUUUGUUAAGCGAGAUGUGAAAGCCCCGGGCUCAACCUGGGAACUGCAUUUCGAACUGGCAAACUAGAGUUCUUGAGAGGGUGGUAGAAUUUCAGGUGUAGCGGUGAAAUGCGUAGAGAUCUGAAGGAAUACCAGUGGCGAAGGCGGCCACCUGGCAAGUAACUGACGCUCAGAUGCGAAAGCGUGGGUAGCAAACGGGAUUAGAUACCCCGGUAGUCCACGCCGUAAACGAUGUCUACUCGGAGUUUGGUUCCUUGCGAACUGGGCUCUUAAGCUAACGCAUUAAGUAGACCGCCUGGGGAGUACGGCCGCAAGGUUAAAACUCAAAUGAAUUGACGGGGGCCCGCACAAGCGGUGGAGCAUGUGGUUUAAUUCGAUGCAACGCGAAGAACCUUACCUACUCUUGACAUCCACAGAAUCUGGUAGAGAUACCUCAGUGCCUUCGGGAACUGUGAGACAGGUGCUGCAUGGCUGUCGUCAGCUCGUGUUGUGAAAUGUUGGGUUAAGUCCCGCAACGAGCGCAACCCUUAUCCUUAUUUGCCAGCACGUAAUGGUGGGAACUCUAAGGAGACUGCCGGUGAUAAACCGGAGGAAGGUGGGGACGACGUCAAGUCAUCAUGGCCCUUACGAGUAGGGCUACACACGUGCUACAAUGGCGCAUACAAAGGGCUGCAAACCAGCGAUGGUAAGCGAAUCCCAUAAAGUGCGUCGUAGUCCGGAUUGGGGUCUGCAACUCGACCCCAUGAA